rnacentral:rRNA from 1 species
UGGAGGAAUGUAUAGCAAUAGCUGAUUGCACCAACAAAUGGUUGAUGCAAUAUUGACUCUGUCAAAUAAAAUUCUAGGUAGAAUUAUGAUAAUGACAUUGUCUGCCUAUAUGUCUUGACCAAAUUACGUGCCAGCAGUCGCGGUAAUACGUAGAAGACUAGUGUUAUUCAUCUUUAAUAGGUUUAAAGGGUACCUAGACGGUAAAUCAAGCCUUCAUAGGGACUAAUUUACUAGAGUUACUUACGAGGGGGUAUUAAAGUACUGCAGGUGUAGAGAUGAAAUUCUGUCAUACCUCUUUUCAAAAGAAAAAUUAUGGCACAGGUAUAGGUGAAAGCAUCCCCUUAUGUGAUAACUGACGUUGAAGGACGAAGGCUUUGUGUCGCGAACAGGAUUAGAUACCCCAGUAGUCAAAGCAGAAAAUGAUGAAUGUCAUAGAUUAGAUAUAUAAUUUAUUCUAUAAAUGAAAAUGUAAGCAUUCCACCUCAAGAGUAAUUUGGCAACAUUGGAACUGAAAUCAUUAGACCGUUUCUGAAACCAGUAGUGAAGUAUGUUGUUUAAUUUGAUGAUCCGCAAAAAACCUUACCACAAUUUGAAUAUUUAUAUCUAUCUUUUUUUUCGUAAACAAAUAAAAAGGUAAUAUAUUUACAAGCGUUGCACGGCUGUCUUCAGUUAAUGUCGCGAGACUUUGGUUAGUUCCAUUUAAUUAACGUAAACCCUUACUUUAUUUUUAUAUGAAGUAGUUCCCCACUAUAUUGGAUAUGAUAACAGGGACUA